rnacentral:rRNA from 1 species
ACGCUCGACACCUACGUGAGGCAGCAGUGGGGAAUAUUGCACAAUGGGGGAAACCCUGAUGCAGCGACGCCGCGUGAGUGAAGAAGUAUUUCGGUAUGUAAAGCUCUAUCAGCAGGGAAGAAAAUGACGGUACCUGACUAAGAAGCCCCGGCUAACUACGUGCCAGCAGCCGUGGUAAUCUGAGCGGGCUGGCAAGGC